UACGAAGGGGGCUAGCGUUGCUCGGAAUCACUGGGCGUAAAGCGCACGUAGGCGGGUCUUUAAGUCAGGGGUGAAAUCCUGGAGCUCAACUCCAGAACUGCCUUUGAUACUGAGGAUCUCGAGUCCGGGAGAGGUGAGUGGAACUCCGAGUGUAGAGGUGAAAUUCGUAGAUAUUCGGAAGAACACCAGUGGCGAAGGCGGCGAUCUGGGCCAAUAUUGACGCUGAGGUGCGAAAGCGUGGGGAGCAAACAGG
rnacentral:rRNA from 1 species